AGACACUCAUUUAUUCAUUCAACAGAUAUUCAUUUGUACCAAGAACUGGUCCAGCCAACGCAUGUAAUGGCCGUUUAUUUUCUUUAGUCUUUUGGAUCAGAUACCAAUAAUACAUUGCUAGCAGAAACAUUUCCAAAGAUAAAGAUGUUUAUAAAGUAAAAUUGUUCGGCUGGGUGCGGUGGCUCAUGCCUGUAAUCCCAGAACUUUGGGAAGCUGAGGCAGGCGGAUCACUCGAGGUCAGGAGUUCGAUACCAGCCUGGCCAACAUGGCAAAACCUUGUCUCUACUAAAAACACAAAAAUUAGCCAGGCAUGAUGGUGGGUGCCAGUAAUCCCAGCUACUCAGAAGGCUGAGGUAUGAGAAUCACUUCAACCCUGGAGGAGGAGGUUGCAGUGAGCUGAGAUUGCGCCACUGCAUUCCAGCCUGGGGGAUAGAGCAAGACUCUGUCUCAAAAAAAAGAAAAAAAAAUUGUUUUCCUUCCAAUAUCACCUCAAAUGGGUGUUAACAAAGCUUUGUUAAUCCCACUGAAAAUUUCAAAUGAAUUCAUCUGUGCUUCUUCAUUUACUUAAAUAAUCAUACAAACAAAUAUUUUUCAUUUUCCUUAUAUUACAUAUGUUAUAAACACAGGCAUGUAUAUAUACAUAUUACUCUAUAACUUUUUCCACUUUAUUAUAUGUUGAUAUAUGACUAAGACAACAUGUAGGGAUAUACCUUUUUAUUUUACUUAACUACACGGUGUUCUAUAGUCUAAAUUUCUAUAAUUUAAAAAAUGCAAUUAUUACCUUAUUGAAAGAUCUUCCAUUUUUUCUUGUUUUUAUAAAAAAGAAAAUUGCCACAAUAAGCAUUCUUUAAUAUAUAAAUUUAUAUGCAAAUAAUUUUUCUACAAAUAUAUGCUCAAAUAUAUACAUAGUAUAUCCAUUUUUAAUUUUCAUAAAAAUGCCAGAUUACUUCAGCAUGAGCUAUGUCAAUUUAUAAGCAACCCACAAUGUGUGUGACUUCUUCACAUCCAAGCCAGCACUUGAUAUUAUGAAGGAGGAAACAUUUUAGGUUUUCCAGCUGGAGCGCUAUAAACUGACUGACAAAAGACAGAUGAACUAGAGUAAAACAGAAGUUUAUUAGCAAGUGCAUCACUCAUACACAUGACAGCACUCAGCAAUGAGUAACUCAAAGGGGUGGUUAGAACUUGGGCUUAAGUAGCAUCUCAACAAAAGAACAAAAAAUUUUAGAGAAGUGACAAGGAAAAGGAAAAGGAGUUUGAGUCUCCAGGACCCCAAGUUGUGGGAAGGCAAAUAUAUGGCGGAAACAAAUGGAAGAUAAAGACUAGUUAGUGUCGUUUGUUAAGUAGAUUCCCCUAAUGCUCUGAUAAAGGUUUAGAGUUGUCUCCAAUGAUUAAAUUCUGUCCUUCCUGGUAGAGAGGGGCAGGAAGACACUGUAACAAAUUUGUAUCCUGCUUUUAGGCAAAUAGGGAAGGGCAGAGAGCUUUGCUUUGCUUUUUCUCAGUUGUCUUAGGCUCAAAAUAAUCCUUUGCCAAAGUAGCGUAUAUUGGAGUGGCUUAGUCCACUUCAAUAUUAGCAAUACUUUGGCCGGGCACGGUGGUUCAUGCCUGUAAUCCCAGCACUUUGGGAGGCCAAGGCUGGUGGAUCACUUGAGGGCAGGAGUUCAAGACCAGCCCAGCCAACAUGGUGAAACCCCGCCUGUACUAAAAAUACAAAAAUUAGCCAGGCAUGGUGGUGCACAUCUGUAAUCCCAGCUACUUGGGAGGCUGAGGCAAGAGAAUCACUUGAACCUGGAAGGUGGAGAUUGCAGUGAGCCAAGAUCACGCCACUGCACUUUAGCCUGGACAACAGAGCAAGACUCCAUCUCAAAUAUAUAUAUAUGUGUAUAUAUAAUCAAUGUUUUAACUUGGAAUCCAAUAGUUUAAAAUGGUAGCUUGUUUUUAUUUUAAUUUGCAUUUUCCAGAUGACUAAUAGAGUUCAUAUAUUUAUUGAACCUGACGGGGCUCAGAACACCAUACUCCAGAGUAUGGUGCCUUGGCAUGCUAAGUAUUUUGACUGAAGGAGAUUGGAGGCUGCAGAAGCCUGCAGGUCUCUCACCUUCUCUUGCCCUCCUUUCUCCCACCAUCCUUGCUCCCCUAAAGCAAGUCAUGGAAACUAAAAUUCCUAUCCCACAAAGUAAGCUAUAAAACUUACAAAGGUCACUCUCUGAUUUCCUCCUUUCACCCCUGAAGAUCCUCAUGUGACAGGUGUCCUGCCCCAUGGGGACAAGGGAUAUCAUACAGAGACACAGGAAAAAAUCUGAAUAAACAGACCUAGCUAAGUCCUCCACCCCACUCCACUCCCCUGUUUAUUACUAUUAGAUAAUAUCUCUUUUUGUCCAAUUAUCUUUCUCCACAUCUCCACAACUAUUUCUUUCAUCAGACUAAGCAUAGAAAUGCACAGUCUUCCCUGGGUGUUUGGGUCUUCAUUUUUAAGGCUCCAGUGUCACAUAAAACUUUGGUUAAAUAAAUGUGUUAUCCUUGUCUCUUGUUAAUCUGUCUUGUGUUAUAGGGAUGUCAACUGUGAACCUUGCGAUGGGCAAAAAAGAUAUUACUUUUUCUCCCCUACAGACAUUUUCUCUUUUCUGUGGCCUGACUGCUGAUUUUCUUGGCUCAUUUUUCUACUGAAUUGUUUAUAAUUUGCUUGCACAUUUGCUAGAAGCUCUUUGCAAUACAAUCCUUUGUUAUGUGUAUUGCAAAUGUUUCCUCUCAAUCUAUUUGAUUGUCUUCUGUUUUUGUGUUUUCUUUUGCUGUGCUAAAGCUUUUAAUUUCUGUGUAAAAAAUUCUGUCAAUUUGUAUUAUUUAUGGCUUUUCUUCUCUCUUGGUUAAGAAGGUUACCCCCACUACAAUCUCUAUCCCAAGGAAAUAUAAAAAUUAUCAGGGUUUUGUAGUCUUUACUUUCAUGCGCGUCCCUGUAAAGAGAACAGCAAACAGGCUUUGUGUGAGCAACAUGGCUGUUUAUUUCACCUGGGUGCAGGCGGGCUGAGUCCGAAAACAGAGUCAGUGAAGGGAGAUAAGAGUGGGGCUGUUUUAUAGGAUUUGGCUAGGUAAAGGAAAAUUACAGUCAAAGGGGGCUUGUUCUCGGGUGGGCAGGAGUAGGGGUCGCAAGGUGCUCAGUGGGGGAGCUUUCUGAGCCAGGAUGAGCUAGGAAAAGGACUUUCACAAGGUAAUGUCAUCACUUAAGGCAAGGACCGGCCAUUUACACUUCUUUUGUGGUGGAAUGUCAUCAGUUAAGGUGGGGCAGGGCAUAUUCACUUCUUUUGUGAUUCUUCAGUUACUUCAGGCCAUCGGGGCUUAUACGUGCAAGUCACAGGGGAUGCGAUGGCUUGGCUUGGGCUCAGAGGCCUGACAUUCCUGCCUUCUUAUAUUAAUAAGAAAAAUAAAACAAAAUAGUGUUGAAGUCUUGGGGCGGCGAAAAUUUUUGGGCGGUGGUAUGGAGAGAGAAUGGGCGAUGUUUCUCAGGGCUGCUUCAAGCGGGAUUAGGGGUGGUGUGGGAACCUAGAGUGGGAGAGAUUAAGCUGAAGGGAGGUCUUGUGGUAAGGGGUGAUAUUGUGGGGAUGUUAGAAGAAAUAUUUGUCGUAUAGAAUGAUUGGUGAUGGCCUGGAUACAGUUUUGUAUGAAUUGAAAAACUAAAUGGAAUAAGAGAAGGAGAAAAACAGGUAUAAAAGCACUAAGAAUUGGGAGGACCUAGGACAUCUAAUUAGAGAGUGCCUAUGGAGGUUCAGCAUAGUCCUGCCAGCAAAGAUUAUUUAUUUACUUCAAGAGUUAAGAGUGGCACUUUGGAGAUAGCACAGGAGAUAUCAGCUGUGAUGGCUUGGAGAAACAGUGUAAACCGGCAGUGUAAACAAGAGCAGGGCAUGUAUGAGUAGUUGAGAACGUGAAUAGGAGUAUGACUAGACAGAAGAUAGUAGGGAUGACAAGUUUUCUGGGGCACAGUCGAAGUUAGUCUUUUGUCUGGAAUGAGACUGGGGCCUAAUAAAAAGAAGCAUCCAUACAGGAGGUUAAAUGGGCUAUACCUUGUAGCAUUACAUGUCUGACUUCUGAGAAGGGAAAGUGGUAAAAGUAUUGUCCAGUCCUUAUUAAGUUGGUGGCUGAGCUUGGUGAGGUGUGUUUUUAAUAGACCAUUAGUCAGUCACUGAAUACUAAGAGCCUGAGAAAAUGCUUGGCUGAUUUGACUAAUAAAGGCUCAUCUGUUAUCAGACUGUAUAGAGGUGGGAAGGCUAAACUGAGGAAUUAUGUCUGACAGAAUGGAAGAAAUGACUGUGGUGUCCUUCUCAGACCCUGUAGGAAAGGCCUUUACUUAUUCAGUGAAAGUGUCUAUUUAGACUAAGAGGUAUUUUAGCUUCCUGACUCGGGCAUGUUGAGUAAAGCUAAUUUGCCAGUCCUGGAUGGGGGCAAAUCCUCGAGCUUGAUGUGUAGGGAAGGGAGGGGGCCUGAAUAAUCCCUGAGGAGUAGUAGAAUAGCAGAUGGAACACUGAGAAGUUAUUUCCUUGAGGAUAGAUUUCCAUGAUGGAAAGAAAAUGAGAGGUUCUAAGAGGCAGGCUAGUGGCUUGUACUAUAGCAUAACCUCCCUUUGCUGGUGUGUGGCGAUUAGGCCUGGUGGAACCACCAUCAAUAAAUCAAGCGUGAUCAGGGUGAGGAACGGGAAAGAAGGAAAUAUGGGGAAAUGGGGUGAAUGUCAGGUGGAUCAGAGAGAUACAGUCAUGGGGGUCAGGUGUGGUAUCAGGAAUAAUGUGGGAGGCCGGAUUGAAGUCUGGGCCAGGAACAAUGGUAAUUGUGGGACUUAACAAAGAGUGAGUACACCUGAAGGAGCCAGGAAGCAGAAAGUAUAUGCAUCAGGUAUGAGGAAGAAAAUAGAUUUUGGAAGUUAUGAGAACUGUAGAGCGUGAGUUGAGCAUACUUUGUGAUUUUGAGGGCCUCUAAAAGUAUUAAAGCAGUGGCAGCCGCUGCACACAGAUAUGAGGGCUAGGCUAAAACAGUAAGGUCAAGUUGUUUGGACAGAAAGGCUACAGGGUGUGGUCCUGGCUCUUGUGUAAGAAUUCUGACCACGCUAACCAUGCCAAGGAAGGAAAGGAGUUGUUGUUUUAUAGAAGGUGCUGGGGUUUGAGAGAUCAGUCGGACACGAUUGGCAGGGAGAGCAUGUAGGUUUUUCUGAGAAUUAUGCCGAGAUAGGUAACAGAUGAGGAUGAAAUUUGGGCUUGAUUGAAGUAAUGGGGGCUGUCUGUGAAGCUUUGCGGCAGUACAGCCUAGGUAAUUUGCUGAGCUUGAUGGGUGUCAGGGUCAGUCCAAGUGAAAGCAAAGAGAGGCUGGGAUUAAGGGUGCAAAGGAAUAGUAAAGAAAGCAUGUUUGAGAUCUAGAACAGACUAAUGGGUUGUAGAGGCAGGUAUUGAGGAUAGGAGAGUAUAUGGGUUUGGCACCACGGGGUGGAUAGGCAAAACAAUUUGGUUGAUAAGGCGCAGAUUCUGAACUAACUUGUAAGGCUUGUCUGGUUUUAGGACAGGUAAAAUGGGGGAAUUGUAAGGAGAGUUUAUAGGCUUUAAAAGGCCAUGCUGUAGCAGGCCAGUGAUAACAGGCUUUAAUCCUUUCAAAGCAUGCUGCGGGAUGGGAUACUGGCAUUUAGUGGGGUAAGGGUGAUUAGGUUUUAAUGAGAUGGUAAGGGGUGCAUGAUCGGUCACCAAGGAGGGAGUAGAGGUAUCUUACACUUGUGGGUUAAGUUUGGGGGAUACAAGAGGAGGACGCAAAGGAGGCUUUGGAUUGGGAAGAAGGGCAGCAAUGAGACGCAGCUGUAAUCCAGGAAUAGGGAAGCAGAUAAUUUGCUUAAAAUAUCUCGGCCUAAUAAGGGAACUGGGCAGGUGGGGAUAACUAAAAAAGAGUGCAUAAAAGAGUGUUGUCUAAGUUGGUACCAGAGUUGGGGAGUUUUAAGAGGUUUAGAAGCCCGGCUGUCAAUAUCCACAACAGUUAUGGAGGCAAGGGAAACAGGCCCUUGAAAAGAAGGUAAUGUGGAGUGGGUAGCCUCCAUAUUGAUUAAGAAGGGGAUGGACUUACCUUCCACUGUGAGAGCUACCUAAAGCUCGGCGUCCGUGAUGGUCUAUGGGGCUUCCGAGGAGAUCAGGCAGUGUCAGUCUUCAGCCGGUAAGCCAAGAAGGAGUCAGUCAGAGAGCCUUGGGCCAGAGUUCCAGGGGCUCUGGGAGUGGCUGCCAGGUGAGUUGAACAGUCCGAUUUCCAGUGGGGUCCCACACAGAUGGGACACGGCUUAGGAGGAAUCCUGGGCUGCGGGCAUUCCUUGGCCUGGUGGCCAGAUUUCUGGCACUUGUAGUAAGCUCCUGGGGAGGAGGUUCUGGAGGAAUGCCUGGCCACUGCAGUUCAGGCGUUUGGAACUUCUUGUGUGCUGGAGAUGUGGCUGGGGUUUGUCUCACAGUGGAGGCAAGGAAUUGCAACUUUUUUUUUUUUAUUAUUAUUGUACACCUUGAAGGUGAGGUUAAUUAAGUCCUGUUGUGGGGUUUGAGGGCCAGAUUCUAAUUUUUGGAGUUUUAUUUAAUGUCGGGAGCAGAUUGGGUAAUAAAAUGUAUAUUGAGAAUAAGAUGGCCUUUUGACCUUUUAGGGUCUAGGGCUGUAAAGCGUCACAGGGUUGCUGCCGAAUGAGACAUGAAGUGGGCUGGGUUUUUAUAUUUGAUGAAAAAGAGCCUAAACACUAUCUGAUUUGGGAUAAAGAAAAAGGAGCAUUAACCUUGACUAUGCCUUUGGCUCCAGACACCUUUUUAAGAGUAAAUCGCUGGGCAGGUGGGGGAGGGCUAGUCACGGAAGGAAACUGUAAGCCGGACCAGGCUUUUAAUAUCUGUAAGAUUUGUAAAGAUCUCUCCUUUGUUCACUCCUGGUAUUGGGGUGUGCAGGUUGGAGAAAGUCAUUCCUUCAGACUGGAGAGAAGACUGGCAAUAACACAGCAGACAAAUAAGAACCUUCAAUUUUCAAGAAACCAGUGCAGCACCGACUAGCCACUAUUGCUAUAAUCUUCACUUCCGUUUUGUAAAAUGUCAUUUUUUAAAGAAAUAAAACAUGAGAUUGACUCUAAUCUUCUAGGCUUAUUAAUUUAAUUUCAGCAAAAGGUAAACGCUAACUGUUUUGCAAGAAUUUUUCACAGAUGAUUUCCAACAUGAGUCUUUAGGAGUUAAUUUUUACUAGCAAGUGAAACAGAAUUAAU
rnacentral:lncRNA from 10 species